GAGCAAGAGUCUGCCGAUUGUUGGAAUUGUGUGAGCCCAUGUCCAACUCUAUAUUGUCCGAUUAAUACGAUAUUAUCCACUUUGGGCCUUUGGCAAGCCUGCAUGGUUUUACUUUUGGUUUCCUUUCCAAAAGGCCUCGUACUAUUAGAGUUGGACAUCUCUUUAUAUAUUAGACACUCCUUGUCUAAUUAUCCAAUGUGGGACUUGGAUUGACAUCUCUCAUUCUCCCCCUCAAACUAAGGACCAUACACCUUAUGCCCUUUCCUCUCGCGAAUCAUCUCGGUGCCUUGUCGCAUCUUCUACAUUCGACACCCGUAGUCGCAAGGUUUACUUUGAGUGGCUUUGAGGAUGUUCUUACAAUUCUAGGAUCUUCUAACUAUGCUGAACCUCUCUUUCCACCUUGAAGGGUCACAUUCCUACUCGAAAGGUAUUUUGGUCUUUUGCAGAUUUCUCAUCAACCUGGCUUUGAUACCAAUUGAAGUUGCACAAACACAAAGAUUAUAAGAACUUUUCUUCUUAUUAGAUUUAGAAACUAUCUCAAAAACUAAACUUUUCAAUGUGUUUCUCUUGAUGGAACAUCUCUCCAUGAGAACUCUUUAUAUAGGAAGAAACUACAUCUUUUCUUAAGGGCGAAACUACAUUUUUUUCUAAUAUAAUAUGAAAACAUUCCUAAGCUCGAUAUGUUUUCUUUUUUCCUUAACCCAUCAAAC
rnacentral:lncRNA from 1 species